GAGUCCGCGUCUCAUUAGCUAGACGGUGGGGUAACGGCCUACCGUGGCAACGAUGAAUAGCAGGCCUGAGAGGGUGGCCUGCCACACUGGGACUGGAACACGGCCCAGACUCCUACGGGAGGCAGCAGUGGGGAAUAUUGCGCAAUGGACGAAAGUCUGACGCAGCGACGCCGCGUGGAGGAUGAAGGUUUUCGGAUCGUAAACUCCUGUCAAGAGGGAAGAAACCUGUUGAGACUAAUACUUUCAGCAAUUGACGGUACCUCUAGAGGAAGCACCGGCUAAUUCAGUGCCAGCAGCCGCGGUAUACUGAAGGUGCAAGCGUUAAUCGGAAUCACUGGGCGUAAAGCGCUCGUAGGUGGCUUUGUAAGUCAGGUGUGAAAGCCCACGGCUCAACCGUGGAAUUGCACUUGAUACUGCAUCGCUAGAGUAUAGGAGAGGGAAGUGGAAUUUCUGGUGUAGGAGUGAAAUCCGUAGAGAUCAGAAGGAACACCCGUGGCGAAGGCGACUUCCUGGACUAUUACUGACACUGAGGAGCGAAAGCGUGGGGAGCAAACAGGAUUAGAUACCCUGGUAGUCCACGCCGUAAACGAUGGAUGCUAGGUGCCGGGG
rnacentral:rRNA from 1 species